CACUGGUGGGCGAGCUGAAUAUGCUCAGGCGCUUGAGAGAACUCGGGAGAAGGAACUCGGCAAAUUGACACCGUAACUUCGGAAGAAGGUGUGCCGUAGUACCGUGAGAGGAGAGACACCUUGAGCGGGAAACGGUCUCAGAGAAUAGGUGGCUGCGACUGUUUAUUAAAAACACAGCACUCUGCAAAGUCGAAAGACGACGUAUAGGGUGUGAUGCCUGCCCGGUGCUGGAAGAUUAAUUGAUGGGGUGAGAGCCCUUGAUCGAAGUCCCAGUAAACGGCGGCCGUAACUAUAACGGUCCUAAGGUAGCGAAAUUCCUUGUCGGGUAAGUUCCGACCUGCACGAAUGGCAUAACGAUGGCCACACUGUCUCCUCCCGAGACUCAGUGAAGUUGAAAUGUUUGUGAUGAUGCAAUCUACCCGCGGCUAGACGGAAAGACCCCAUGAACCUUUACUGCAGCUUUGCAUUGAACUGUGAACCGAUUUGUGUAGGAUAGGUGGGAGGCAGAGAAGAGGCCACGCCAGUGGCCUUGGAGCCGACCUUGAAAUACCACCCUGAUUUGUUUGCGGUUCUAACCAGGGACAGUGAUCCUGUCUUGGGACCGUGCAUGGUAGGCAGUUUGACUGGGGCGGUCUCCUCCUAAAGGGUAACGGAGGAGUACGAAGGUACGCUAGGUACGGUCGGAAAUCGUGCUGAUAGUGCAAUGGCAAAAGCGUGCUUGACUGCGAGAGCAACAACUCGAGCAGAUGCGAAAGCAGGUCAUAGUGAUCCGGUGGCUCUGAAUGGAAGGGCCAUCGCUCAACGGAUAAAAGGUACUCUGGGGAUAACAGGCUGAUACCGCCCAAGAGUUCAUAUCGACGGCGGUGUUUGGCACCUCGAUGUCGGCUCAUCUCAUCCUGGGGCUGUAGUCGGUCCCAAGGGUAUGGCUGUUCGCCAUUUAAAGAGGUACGUGAGCUGGGUUUAAAACGUCGUGAGACAGUUUGGUCCCUAUCUGCCGUGGGCGUUGGAAGAUUGACGGGGGCUGCUCCUAGUACGAGAGGACCGGAGUGGACGCACCUCUGGUGUACCGGUUGUCACGCCAGUGGCAUUGCCGGGUAGCUAAGUGCGGAAGAGAUAACCGCUGAAAGCAUCUAAGCGGGAAACUUGCCUGAAGAUGAGUCUUCCCGGAGGUUGAACCUCCCUCAAGAGUCGUCCGAGACCAGGACGUCGAUAGGUCAGGUGUGUAAGCGCUGUAAGGCGUUGAGCUAACUGAUACUAAUUGCUCGUGAGGCUUGAUCCG
rnacentral:rRNA from 1 species